rnacentral:lncRNA from 1 species
CACCACUUGGGAGUGGGGGAUAGCGUGCUUUGACGAGAAUAUCCUCAAGACCACGGGGAUGUCUAUUGCCAAACAUGCUGGAGAAUAAAAAGGAAAAUGAUAAAUACAGACACACACACAGUCUAAAACGUAAAAGAUAUAGAAUUAGUUAUUGGCAAAUACUUCUAAAGAUUCCUCGUCAGUUUAAUUUAACUGGUGCCGUACUCAACGCUCAGGCCCUUUCACGCCCCACUAUUUCCUAUCUGCUCUGAGAGAUAUGGGUCCUGGAAAGAGAGAAGAAAUAUGAAAACAGGAGAGAAACGAAAAAAGUUAGAGAAAAAGUGAGAUAUGAAGCAAGUGUAAAUGAGAAGUAGGGAAUGGUAGAGAGGAAAGAGGCAAAAAUAUUAUUUUCCUUACCUUUGCAUAUUAUUUGUGGGCAAGAAAAUUUAUUAAGAUAGUAAUUUAUUUUUUGCUUUUUCUCUGUUAUUUUUCCCCAGGUUCAACUUAUAGCCACGCUCUGGUGCCCUCAAGAAGUUUGUUUAGAGGGCAAAAGUAGAAGAAGAGCAGCAGCUGCGGGGGCCUCAUGUGAACUUGGACAAGGGACAUCUCUGCACCACGCUAUUCAGAAAGAAGCCCAGAGGAGUCUUCCAGAUGUGCUGACCCUGGGCUUCUGCACCACUGCAACACCUGUAUGGAGUAAGGAACCCCCCAGCUAUAACGAGGGAAGAGCUCUGCCCUCCGAGGGGAGGAGAGUUCAGACAGGGCGUGCGCUUCACCUCCCUCUCUGCUACGUUUGGUUUGUGGGCUUGGAAUUUCCUUUUUCAAUAACUCCCAAGUCUAUCUGACCCACUUCUGUUGUUUCAUUCAUAGCAGAGAGAGACAUCCACAGGUAUUUUUCUCUCUCUCUAUAUGCAUGCAUUCAGUUAUUUUAACCUGCCUUUUCCCACAGAGGGUUUUAGACAAUGUAGACAAUUUGCUUGGGAAUAUUAUCAUUUCAAUGAUAAUCUCCUUUCCACACUGAACAAUAAAAUAUAGCUCCAACAAUAUUGUGGACCA